rnacentral:rRNA from 1 species
GAAAGCUACGGCGGCCUAAUACAUGCAAGUCGAACGGUGUCUUCGGACAUAGUGGCGCACGGGUGCGUAACACGUAUGCAACCUACCUUACAUUGGGGGAUAGCCUUUCGAAAGGGAGAUUAAUACCGCAUAAGACAGUAGCUGGGCAUCCAGCAGCUGUUAAAGAUUUAUCGAUGUAAGAUGGGCAUGCGUCCAAUUAGUUAGUUGGCGAGGUAAUGGCUCACCAAGACUUUGAUUGGUAGGGGAACUGAGAGGUCAAUCCCCCACACUGGCACUGAGAUACGGGCCAGACUCCUACGGGAGGCAGCAGUAGGGAAUAUUGGGCAAUGGACGCAAGUCUGACCCAGCCAUGCCGCGUGCAGGAUGAAGGCGUUAUGCGUUGUAAACUGCUUUUAUACAGGAAGAAACGACUCUUGCGAGAGGCAUUGACGGUACUGUAUGAAUAAGCACCGGCUAACUCCGUGCCAGCAGCCGCGGUAAUACGGAGGGUGCAAGCGUUGUCCGGAUUUAUUGGGUU